AGGGAAUAUUGGACAAUGGGGGCAACCCUGAUCCAGCCAUGCCGCGUGAGUGAAGAAGGCCCUCGGGUUGUAAAGCUCUUUUGUCCGGAAAGAAAAGCAUUCGGUGAAUACCCGGAUGUUCUGACGGUACCGGAAGAAUAAGCACCGGCUAACUUCGUGCCAGCAGCCGCGGUAAUACGAAGGGUGCAAGCGUUACUCGGAAUUACUGGGCGUAAAGCGUGCGUAGGUGGUUGUUUAAGUCUGAUGUGAAAGCCCUGGGCUCAACCUGGGAAUGGCAUUGGAAACUGGGCCGCUAGAGUGCGGUAGAGGGUAGUGGAAUUCCCGGUGUAGCAGUGAAAUGCGUAGAGAUCGGGAGGAACAUCUGUGGCGAAGGCGACUGCCUGGACCAGCACUGACACUGAGGCACGAAAGCGUGGGGAGCAAACA
rnacentral:rRNA from 1 species